UUCCAGACUCCUACGGGAGGCAGCAGUGGGGAAUAUUGCACAAUGGGGGAAACCCUGAUGCAGCAACGCCGCGUGAGUGAAGAAGUGUUUCGGUAUGUAAAGCCCUAUCAGCAGGGAAGAAGAUGACGGUACCUGAGUAAGAAGCCCCGGCUAACUACGUGCCAGCAGCCGCGGUAAUACGUAGGGGGCAAGCGUUAUCCGGAUUUACUGGGUGUAAAGGGAGCGUAGACGGCAGUGCAAGUCUGAAGUGAAAGCCCCGGGCUUAACCCGGGAACUGCUUUGGAAACUGUACGGCUGGAGUGCUGGAGAGGUAAGCGGAAUUCCUAGUGUAGCAGUGAAAUGCGUAGAUAUUAGGAGGAACACCAGUGGCGAAGGCGGCUUACUGGACAGUAACUGACGUUGAGGCUCGAAAGCGUGGGGAGCAAACAGGAUUAGAUACCCGGGUA
rnacentral:rRNA from 1 species